rnacentral:misc_RNA from 1 species
UGUGGGAGCGAGCCUGCUCGCGAUAGCGGUGUGUCAGGCGAUAUUUGUGUUGGCUGACCCAGCACAUCGCGAGCAGGCUCGCUCCCACA